AUUGCCCUAGUAACGGCGAGUGAAGCGGCAACAGCUCAAAUUUGAAAUCUGGCGUCUUUGGCGUCCGAGUUGUAAUUUGCAGAGGGCGCUUUGGCAUUGGCAGCGGUCCAAGUUCCUUGGAACAGGACGUCACAGAGGGUGAGAAUCCCGUACGUGGUCGCUAGCCUUUACCGUGUAAAGCCCCUUCGACGAGUCGAGUUGUUUGGGAAUGCAGCUCUAAAUGGGAGGUAAAUUUCUUCUAAAGCUAAAUACUGGCCAGAGACCGAUAGCGCACAAGUAGAGUGAUCGAAAGAUGAAAAGCACUUUGGAAAGAGAGUUAAAAAGCACGUGAAAUUGUUGAAAGGGAAGCGCUUGCAGCCAGACUUGCCUGUAGUUGCUCAUCCGGGUUUUUACCCGGUGCACUCUUCUACGGGCAGGCCAGCAUCAGUUUGGGCGGUUGGAUAAAGGUCUCUGUCAUGUACCUCCUCUCGGGGAGAUCUUAUAGGGGAGACGACAUGCAACCAGCCUGGACUGAGGUCCGCGCAUCUGCUAGGAUGCUGGCGUAAUGGCUGUAAGCGGCCCGUCUUGAAACACGGACCAAGGAGUCUAACAUCUAUGCGAGUGUUUGGGUGUCAAGCCCGAACGCGUAAUGAAAGUGAACGGAGGUGGGAACCUUUCGGGGUGCACCAUCGACCGAUCCUGAUGUCUUCGGAUGGAUUUGAGUAAGAGCAUAGCUGUUGGGACCCGAAAGAUGGUGAACUAUGCUUGAAUAGGGUGAAGCCAGAGGAAACUCUGGUGGAGGCUCGCAGCGGUUCUGACGUGCAAAUCGAUCGUCAAAUUUGGGCAUAGGGGCGAAAGACUAAUCGAACUAUCUAGUAGCUGGUUCCUGCGAG
rnacentral:rRNA from 1 species